rnacentral:rRNA from 1 species
AUUGAACGCUGGCGGCAGGCCUAACACAUGCAAGUCGAACGAGUGGCGGACGGGUGAGCAAUGUCUGGGAAACUGCCUGAUGGAGGGGGAUAACUACUGGAAACGGUAGCUAAUACCGCAUACCAUCCGAUGUGCCCAGAUGGGAUGAGCUUGUUGGUGGGGUAACGGCUCACCAAGGCGACGAUGCCUAGCUGGUCUGAGAGGAUGAUCCGCCACACUGGGACUGAGACACGGCCCAGACUCCAACGGGAGGCAGAAGUGGGGAAUUUUGGACAAUGGGCGCAAGCCUGAUCCAGCCAGGCCGCGUGUCUGAAGAAGACCUUCGGGUUGUAAAGGACUUUUGUUAGGGAAGCGGUACCUAAAGAAUAAGCACCGGCUAACUACGUGCCAGCAGCCGCGGUAAUUC